GAAUGUUCACGAAGAUUCUACACAGCACUUCAGUCUUUUUAUUGAAGUGUGGGGGAUGCGUGUGAGAUUAUUUUAAGGGAAAGUGGAAAAUCGACAUUUAUUUUUGGCAUUAAGUAAGUUAGUGAAUUCAAGGAUGUGUUAACUUCUGAUGAUAACGUUCUCUUUUAUCAAGCACGUGGAAAAUACAUUGCAGCACAACAUUUUUCACAAGUUUACACGCCGUUUAAGUGAAGACAAGCAUGAUGUCGCUCAAAUGAUCGGCCAUGUAAACAAACCCUAAUUAGUUUACUGCAGCAAAUUCUUCUGGAUCUACCAAACAACUGGCUUCUGCGACAUCUGAGAGGAAUACAAGGUUGGUCCUGAGUAGCUGAAAGAUGUGAAUAUUAGUGAUGUAGUGUGUUACAACCACGUAAGACAGCAUUUUCUUAAUACAAACCACUCUUCUGUGUUAUCGGACACACAACUUAAAUAUGACUUCCAUGGUUCACUGCAACAGUGGUUCCAGUACCCUUCUGAGAUGCACACGACUUUUGGUUGGCUACACUGGCAGUCUCACAUAACCUCACUUUAAGUGGACACCCUGUAUAUCUCGGGCAGUGAAUGGGACCGACAAUGCAGCUGGG